GACGAACGCUGGCGGCGUGCCUAAUACAUGCAAGUCGAACGGACAGACAGAGAGCUUGCUCUCUUGAAGUUAGUGGCGAACGGGUGAGUAACGCGUAAUCAACCUGCCCUUCAGAGGGGGAUAACAACGGGAAACCGUUGCUAAUACCGCGUACGAUUCAUGAACGGCAUCGUUUAUGAAUGAAAGGUGGCCUCUAUGUAUAAGCUAUCGCUGAAGGAGGGGAUUGCGUCUGAUUAGCUAGUUGGAGGGGUAACGGCCCACCAAGGCAAUGAUCAGUAGCCGGUCUGAGAGGAUGAACGGCCAGAUUGGGACUGAGACACGGCCCAAACUCCUACGGGAGGCAGCAGUGGGGAAUCUUCCGCAAUGGACGAAAGUCUGACGGAGCGACGCCGCGUGAGUGAUGAAGGUCUUCGGAUUGUAAAGCUCUGUUAAUCGGGACGAAAGAGUUCUGCGUGAAUAAUGCAGAAAAGUGACGGUACCGGAAUAGAAAGCCACGGCUAACUACGUGCCAGCAGCCGCCGUAA
rnacentral:rRNA from 1 species